AUUGAACGCUGGCGGCAGGCCUAACACAUGCAAGUCGAACGAGUGGCGGACGGGUGAGUAAUGUCUGGGAAACUGCCUGAUGGAGGGGGAUAACUACUGGAAACGGUAGCUAAUACCGCAUACCAUCAGAUGUGCCCAGAUGGGAUUAGCUAGUGGGGGGGGUAACGGCCAACCAAGGCGACGAUCCCUAGCUGGUCUGAGCGGAUGACCAGCAAAACUGGAACUGAGACAGGGUCCAGACUCCUAGGGGAGGCAGCAGUGGGGAAUAUUGGACAAUGGGCGCAAGCCUGAUGCAGCAAUGCCGCGUGUAUGAAGAAGGCCUUGGGGUUGUAAAGUACUUUCAGCGGGGAGGCGGUACCCGAAGAAGAAGCACCGGCUAACUCCGUGCCAGCCGCCGCGGUAAUAC
rnacentral:rRNA from 1 species